rnacentral:rRNA from 1 species
GAUGAACGCUGGCGGCGUGCCUAAUACAUGCAAGUCGAGCGAACAGAUGAGGAGCUUGCUCCUCUGACGUUAGCGGCGGACGGGUGAGUAACACGUGGAUAACCUACCUAUAAGACUGGGAUAACUUCGGGAAACCGGAGCUAAUACCGGAUAAUAUAUUGAACCGCAUGGUUCAAUAGUGAAAGACGGUUUUGCUGUCACUUAUAGAUGGAUCCGCGCCGCAUUAGCUAGUUGGUAAGGUAACGGCUUACCAAGGCAACGAUGCGUAGCCGACCUGAGAGGGUGAUCGGCCACACUGGAACUGAGACACGGUCCAGACUCCUACGGGAGGCAGCAGUGGGAAUCUUCCGCAAUGGGCGAAAGCCUGACGGAGCAACGCCGCGUGAGUGAUGAAGGUCUUCGGAUCGUAAAACUCUGUUAUUAGGGAAGAACAAAUGUGUAAGUAACUAUGCACGUCUUGACGGUACCUAAUCAGAAAGCCACGGCUAACUACGUG